rnacentral:rRNA from 1 species
UACGUAGGGGGCGAGCGUUGUCCGGAUUUAUUGGGCGUAAAGAGCGUGUAGGCGGCCAGGUAGGUCUGCUGUGAAAACUCGAGGCUCAACCUCGAGACGUCGGCGGAAACCAUCUGGCUAGAGUCCGGAAGAGGAGAGUGGAAUUCCUGGUGUAGCGGUGAAAUGCGCAGAUAUCAGGAAGAACACCAGUGGCGAAGGCGGCUCACUGGACCGGAACUGACGCUGAGGCGCGAAAGCGUGGGGAGCAAACAGG